rnacentral:rRNA from 1 species
AGCGAACGCUGGCGGCAGGCUUAACACAUGCAAGUCGAGCGGGUCCUUCGGGGUCAGCGGCCGACGGGCGAGUAACGCGUGGGAACGUGCCUUCUGGUUCGGAAUAACCCUGGGAAACUAGGGCUAAUACCGGGUACGCCCUUUUUGGGAAAGGUUUACUGCCGGAAGAUCGGCCCGCGUCUGAUUAGCUAGUUGGUGGGGUAACGGCCUACCAAGGCGACGAUCAGUAGCUGGUCUGAGAGGAUGAUCAGCCACACUGGGACUGAGACACGGCCCAGACUCCUACGGGAGGCAGCAGUGGGGAAUAUUGGACAAUGGGCGCAAGCCUGAUCCAGCCAUGCCGCGUGAGUGAUGAAGGCCUUAGGGUUGUAAAGCUCUUUUAUCCGGGACGAUAAUGACGGUACCGGAGGAAUAAGCCCCGGCUAACUUCGUGCCAGCCGCCGCCGUAA